rnacentral:rRNA from 1 species
AUGUUGGCUUAGAAGCAGCCAUCAUUUAAAGAAAGCGUAAUAGCUCACUGAUCGAGUCGUCCUGCGCGGAAGAUGUAACGGGGCUAAGCCAGUCACCGAAGCUGCGGAUAUUUUUCGUUGAUUUAUACGUUGAUCAUAUAUGGUAGGAGAGCGUUCUGUAAGCCUGCGAAGGUGUCUUGUAAAGGAUGCUGGAGGUAUCAGAAGUGCGAAUGCUGACAUGAGUAGCGAUAAUGGGAGUGAAAAGCUCCCACGCCGUAAGCCCAAGGUUUCCUGUUCAACGUUCAUCGGAGCAGGGUGAGUCGGCCCCUAAGGCGAGGCAGAGAUGCGUAGCUGAUGGGAAGCAGGUUAAUAUUCCUGCACCGUCGUAUGAUGCGAUGGGGGGACGGAUCGCGGAAGGUUGUCUGACUGUUGGAAUAGUCAGUUUCUGGUUCAUAGAAGGCGCUUAGGCAAAUCCGGGCGCGUAAUUCAAGGGACUGGGACGAGCGGCUUUAUGCUGCGAAGCAAUCGGAAGUGGUUCCAAGAAAAGCCUCUAAGCUUCAGUCAUACGAGACCGUACCGCAAACCGACACAGGUGGGCGAGAUGAGUAUUCUAAGGCGCUUGAGAGAACUCGGGAGAAGGAACUCGGCAAAUUGGUACCGUAACUUCGGGAAAAGGUACGCCCUUGUAGUUUGACCACUUUACUGUGGAAGGAUGAACGGGUUGCAAUAAACUGGUGGCUGCGACUGUUUAAUAAAAACACAGCACUCUGCAAACACGAAAGUGGACGUAUAGGGUGUGACGCCUGCCCGGUGCUGGAAGAUUAAAUGAUGGGGUGCAAGCUCUUGAUUGAAGUCCCAGUAAACGGCGGCCGUAACUAUAACGGUCCUAAGGUAGCGAAAUUCCUUGUCGGGUAAGUUCCGACCUGCACGAAUGGCGUAACGAUGGCCACACUGUCUCCUCCCGAGACUCAGCGAAGUUGAAAUGUUUGUGAUGAUGCAAUCUACCCGCGGCUAGACGGAAAGACCCCAUGAACCUUUACUGUAGCUUUGCAUUGGACUUUGAACCAAUCUGUGUAGGAUAGGUGGGAGGCUUUGAAGCGGGGACGCCAGUCUCGUGGAGCCAACCUUGAAAUACCACCCUGGUUUGUUUGAGGUUCUAACCUUGGUCCGUUAUCCGGAUCGGGGACAGUGCAUGGUAGGCAGUUUGACUGGGGCGGUCUCCUCCUAAAGUGUAACGGAGGAGUUCGAAGGUACGCUAAUUACGGUCGGACAUCGUGAUGAUAGUGCAAUGGCAUAAGCGUGCUUAACUGCGAGACUGACAAGUCGAGCAGGUACGAAAGUAGGACAUAGUGAUCCGGUGGUUCUGUAUGGAAGGGCCAUCGCUCAACGGAUAAAAGGUACUCUGGGGAUAACAGGCUGAUUCCUCCCAAGAGUUCAUAUCGACGGGGGAGUUUGGCACCUCGAUGUCGGCUCAUCACAUCCUGGGGCUGUAGCCGGUCCCAAGGGUAUGGCUGUUCGCCAUUUAAAGUGGUACGCGAGCUGGGUUUAGAACGUCGUGAGACAGUUUGGUCCCUAUCUGCCG